AAGUCGUAACAAGGUUUCCGUAGGUGAACCUGCGGAAGGAUCAUUAACACGUAUCCAACGUUAAAACAACCCUGUGAACCUUCAAUCUUGCUCGCGUGGCUCCAUGAAAGCAGCAAUCCCUGGUAAAUCAUCCCUGGGUCACCAUGCCCCUUAAAUCACCACACUGUAACGCCGACAGGUCGCGAUAAUUCCGCUGACCACAAAAAACCGAACAACUGUUAACAAUGGAUAUCUUGGUUCUC
rnacentral:misc_RNA from 1 species